rnacentral:rRNA from 1 species
AACGUAAGGGGCGAACGUUGCUCGGAAUUACUGGGCGUAAAGGGCCGGUAGGUGGCUUUAUAAGUCAGUUGUCAAAUACCCAUGCUUAACGUGGGAGAGGCGACUGAUACUGUAGAGCUUGAGUAGAGGAGGGGAUGACGGAAUACCCGGUGUAGGGGUGAAAUCUGUUGAUAUCGGGUAGAACACCGAUGGCGAAAGCGGUCAUCUAGCCUCAUACUGACACUCAACGGCGAAAGCCAGGGGAGCGAACGGG